GGGUNGUAGUCCGCACGAGCGCACCCUUAUCCUUAGUUGCCAGCACGUAAUGGUGGGAACUCUNANGAGACUGCCGGUGACAAACCGGAGGAAGGUGGGGACGACGUCAAGUCAUCAUGGCCCUUACGAGAUGGGCUACACACGUGCUACAAUGGCAAGUACAAAGGGUUGCAAACUCGCGAGAGUAAGCGGAUCCCAUAAAGCUUGUCGUAGUCCGGAUUGGAGUCUGCAACUCGACUCCAUGAAGUCGGAAUCGCUAGUAAUCGUGGAUCAGAAUGCCACGGUGAAUACGUUCCCGGGCCUUGUACACACCGCCCGUCACACCAUGGGAGUGGGCUGCAAAAGAAGUGGAUAGCUUAACCUUCGGGAGGGCGUUCACCACUUUGUGGUUCAUGACUGGGGUGAAGUCGUAACAAGGUAGCCGUAGGGGAACCUGCGGCUGGAUCACCUCCUU
rnacentral:rRNA from 1 species